GGACGGGUGAGUAACGCGUGAGCAACCUGCCCUUUGGAGGGGGAUAGUGUCUGGAAACGGACAGUAAUACCGCAUAACGUAUUUUUACCGCAUGAUAGAAAUACCAAAACUGAGGUGCCGAAGGAUGGGCUCGCGUUGGAUUAGAUAGUUGGUGGGGUAACGGCCUACCAAGUCGACGAUCCAUAGCCGGACUGAGAGGUUGAACGGCCACAUUGGGACUGAGACACGGCCCAGACUCCUACGGGAGGCAGCAGUGGGGAAUAUUGCACAAUGGGGGAAACCCUGAUGCAGCAACGCCGCGUGAAGGAAGACGGUUUUCGGAUUGUAAACUUCUGUUCUUAGUGAAGAAUAAUGACGGUAGCUAAGGAGCAAGCCACGGCUAACUACGUGCCAGCAGCCGCGGUAAUACGUAGGUGGCAAGCGUUGUCCGGAAUUACUGGGUGUAAAGGGAGCGCAGGCGGGAAGCCAAGUCAGCUGUGAAAACUACGGGCUUAACUUGUAGACUGCAGUUGAAACUGGUUUUCUUGAGUGAAGUAGAGGUUGGCGGAAUUCCGAGUGUAGCGGUGAAAUGCGUAGAUAUUCGGAGGAACACCGGUGGCGAAGGCGGCCAACUGGGCUUUAACUGACGCUGAGGCUCGAAAGUGUGGGGAGCAAACAGGAUUAGAUACCCUGGUAGUCCACACUGUAAACG
rnacentral:rRNA from 1 species